GCUGUCAAAUUUGGACAUCAUGACGACUGAGUUCGAUCAUACCCCUUACAAAAAUCUUUCUUGACCAGCGAAUCUUUACCACAUAAGCUUUAUCAUUGGAGAGCUAUGUAUCUGUGAAUCCAUGGGAGAGCAAUUGAUCCAUGGGGAGGAAGAGGAGAUGGAAACUGAAGCUCUUGAAUCUAUACUUGCUUGCUGAUGACUUCAAAGAGAUUCAUUCUAGUGAAAGUGGGCUUUAACACUUCAAACCGAUGCUUUCAGACAACAGUUACUCCUCAGGUAUUAGUUCUCACCCUUCAUCUCUUUUUCUUCACUUCCUUCAUUACUUGUUUAGAUACUACACUUAUAUCAGCCAUGCGUAGGAACUUUAUUUUACUACCAUAGAACAACUGAUAUUUGUAAAGAAUAAUAAGAACAUAAAUUAAAAUUUCAAUACCGAAAUAUAAAAAUAAAGAAGAAUUGCAGAGUCGAGAUAGUUAAUCUAUUUCCUUAAAUCUUUAAACGUCCAGUAGUGUGACGGUUUCAUGGCGCUCAGAUUCCCAGGAUACAACUGCAGCAUUGUUUCUAUUUACCAUCACCGAAAAAACAGAAUCUAUCGACCAUAUUUCUGUGAUGUACUCUCAGACUCAAAAUAAAAAAAAAAUACUAGCAUAACUAUUCUGAGUGGGAGAAAUGUUUCUUGAUUGUAUGAAUGUGUGUAUUUUCUAUAAUGCUAGCAAGCCCUUUUAUGGAAAAAUCAUGAGAAGCACAAGUUUCAUUUUUCAACACAAAAAAUGAAACCUCCAUGGUGCACUAAUGGAGUCUGUAAUUCUUGUCAAUUAUUAUGUGAAUUUAUUCCACAUUUUGACCAAAAAAUUAAAGAGUAAAAUUAUUUUUUGUUUGACCAAUUCAAACUAAAUAAUAUACUUUAAAAUGAAUUUCUUUUUUAUAUUUUAUCAAUAUAAAAGAUCAAUAUAUAUUUGAUUUAAGUUAAUGAACAUGAAGUCCAACUAACAACUCAAAACCCAAAUCCAAGAUCAAAUAUCUAAUGUAUGUAUUUGCUACUUUAUACAAGAUUCUUAAAUCACACACAUUAGACCUCCAUUUCUCAUUCAAAUAAAACUUCAUUUUUGACAUAUGAAUACCUUAUUCAUAAUAUUCAAAAAAUAGUUCCAACAAUCCCCCACAUGAAUAGAAAUGACUCUAGACACUAGACGACUCGACAGACUUGACUUCCUAGACAAGACUCGACCUUAGGACUUUUGAGAGUACAAACGAAAAAUCCACUGCAUGAUGAGUUGGUAGCAAUUUUUCAGCCUUGAACCAGUCAUUGUUAAUAGCUAUCGGAUUUACUCGGCCAGGAGGUGGCCAUGAUGUCUUGAACCUCCCGGGCUUUGGUGUAAACCUAGACAAUAGCUACAACACAGCUUCAUUCUCUCACAGAACUAGGUUCUCUAUUGUGUUCAUUUUGGCCGUGAACAGUCUUGGUAAUCAUGAGUGAACUUGGAGAAUAUAGCCUUUCCUUCAUUCUCCUAGAAACGGCCCCAUUUCACACUCACAAGGUGAUUUGCCAUUAGCUUUGUUUAGAGGAGUAUCAUGUACUACUCCAUUCAUAUCUCAAAGCUAUGGACACAAAUCAUUAAAAGCAAAUGCUUAUCCUAUAAUCCUUACAUGUAGCACUGUUUAAUCAUCAUAGGAACUGAGUAUAGACCGAAGUCUUACAUUGCUUUGGACAGACUUAGUUUGACUUAGUUGUCUCCUUGAACCUAUUUCUUGGGAUCUCCACUCAGUUAGGUAGAGUUACCGCCAAACCUCAUCUUAAUUCACAGGCUACCCAUUCCUUUUGAUGAUAUACAAUAUGAUCUCAUAACACACCUUUAAUAAAAGGAUCCUAGGUUGUCAUCAUAGUGGACAUAAUCUCUUGAGAUUAGUCGAGAUCAAUUGUCUAAUGAUUUUUGUCAUCUGUUUUUCAAGAUACAAUUAAUCAUUAUACACAAAACUCAGUGUAUAACACUUGUUUUCUAAAAAAAAUAUUGUGAUAACUAUCACUAAGUUCAUUUGGCCUAUUGCCAAUGACUUUAUAUGGUAAGCAAAGUUUCCUCCACAUUUCUUGAGAUAACUCAAAAACAUGCAUAAUUACAUUUAACAUCUCUUAAGAGUUUAGAAAGUUAAUCUACAACUCUUUUAGAAUUAAAUGAAUAAAAAGUAAUUUCGAAAAUUAUUACAAUUUUCUUGAAAAUUGUGUUUCAUUCUUAGAAAUUCACAUUUUACAUACAACUAUUUUCAUAGUUCUCUCAAGUUAAUUAAUAAAUCCAACUUGUAUGUUUUGGAUCUUUUCCAAACACUUUUUUUUAGCAAAUAUACAUAUCAUUACAAGAUAUUAUUUUUGCCAUCAAAACCACACAAUUUUAUAUGAUUAUUCUCAACCAUAUUGACUUUAGAAACUACAAAACACAUGUCAGUUUCAGUCAUAUUUGUUUUAGAAUUUUCAUUUUUUUUCAUGGUCAAUCCUUUUACAAAUUGCAUUUAAGCAUUGACGAAAUAUAAAUGUUUUGAUCAGUAUCAACAAACAUUUUAUUUUCUAUGGCAAAUGAUUUAUAUGUGGCAGACCUCUCCCAAACUAAAUUUGGGGCGUCGACUCACUAAAUCCAUUUCCAUAUAUAUACCUUUCGAUCUCUUAAAGAUCGAGAUUUUUAAUCACUUUGGUUUAGCUAUAUUGAAAUAUGAGUUUGUUCACUAGAAACCAAACCCAGGUUAAUAUACUACUCAUCAAUACCAAACAUAUGACUAAUGAUUUUUAAACAAUAACUCCACAAUAACUAAUCCAGGAAAACGUUUUAUUCAACAUAUUGUUUUACCAAUUAAGUACCAAUAGUUAUAAAUAUAUUUUUGACCAAAAGCAAUAAACCCCUUUCCUUUGCAAUUUGUAACGGUUUGAUAUAAAAUCAACAUCAGUUUUCGUUUCUUUUUUGUUUAAAAAAAACAUAUUGAAACUGAUCAAAACUGAUAAAUUUUGCAAUUUAAUAUAAUCAAUAAUCAAACACCAUAACCUGCUAUUUACUUUCCCGUUCGAUUGCUAGAACCCACGAUCAGCACCUGUUGACUAUUUUCAUAAAACUUAAGCCAAUGUUAGUAUCAUUAGCGCUGAAACAAGAUCGAUCACUACUAUUGACUGAACACGAUUAAUACUAAUAACCGAUUGUCUCAACUGGCAGAAAAAUUAUUUUAAAAUAAUCUAGCAGAUCGGACUCGAGCAUCUUUUAACCUGUUCUUAAAAAACAAAAACUUUUAACAAAUAUCAGUAUUGUUAGUGCAAAAGCAUAAACAAUAUUUAAAGAUUUAAGAGUGUAGGAACUUAAUUUUACUACUAUAGGACAACUGAUAUUUGUAAAGAAUAAUAAGAACAUAAAUUAAAAUUUCAAUACCGAAAUAUAAAAAUAAAGAAGAAUUGCAGAGUCGAGAUAGUUAAUAUCUUUCCUUAAAUCUUUAAACGCCCAGUAGUGUGACGGUUUCAUGGCGCUCAGAUUCCCAGGAUACAAAUGCAACAUUGUUUCUGUUUACCAUCACCGAAAAACAGAAUCUAUCGACCAUAUUUCUGUAAUGUACUGUCAGACUCAAAAAAAAAAAAUACUAGCAUAACUAUUCUGAGUGGGAAAAAUGUUUCUUGAUUGUAUGAAUGUGUGUAUUUUCUAUAAUGCUAGCAAGCCCUUUUAUAGAAAAAUCAUGAGAAGCACAAGUUUCAUUUUUCAACACAAAAAAUGAAACCUCCAUGGUGCACUAAUGGAGUCUUUAAUUCUUGUCAAUUAUUAUGUGAAUUUAUUCCACAUUUUGACCAAAAAAUUAAAGAGUAAAAUUAUUUUUUGUUUGACCAAUUCAAACUAAAUAAUAUACUUUAAAAUGGAUUUUUUUUUUAUAUUUUAUCAAUAUAAAAGAUCAACAUAUAUUUGAUUUAAGUUAAUGAACAUGAAGUCCAACUAACAACUCAAAACUCAAAUCCAAGAUCAAAUAUCUAAUGUAUGUAUUUGCUACUUUAUACAAGAUUCUUAAAUCACACACAUUAGACCUUCAUUUCUCAUUCAAAUAAAACUUCAUUUUUGACAGAUGAAUACCUUAUUCAUAAUGUUCAAAAAAUAGUUCCAACACCUUGUAUGUGGACAAGCUUGUUGUUAUUAGUGCAGCAAAUGUUUCUACGUCGGUUCUUAGCUUUUUUAAUUAAAAAUUAAGAGAUGAUCUCUUAUAUUCCGCUAAGAACUCCACCCUAAGAACCUUUCAUUAAUCAUGCUCUAAGAGCACGAUUAACGCAUGAGCUUGGGGGGGGGGGUGUUUAAUAAUUUUCAGAUUAAAGAAAAGGAAAUAAUGUAAUAAGCGAACAGACGCUGCUUAAUUAAGCGGCACAAGCAACGCUUCUAAUGAGACACGUGUCAUUAGACGCGUCCUUCUCUCCCUCGACGACUCGGUUUCCUCAUUAUCUCCCUCGACGACUCCGCUUGAUUCUUUCUCUCCCUCGGCGACUCCGCAUUUGUCGAUUGGAUCGUCGACGACUCUGCGUCAUUCUCCGUUAAAGUCGACGAAUCCGCUUCUCUCUUUCUCUUCCUCGGCGGCUCCGCCUUCCUCGAUUCUCUCCCUCGACGACUCCGCCUCGUUGUGGUGAAACCCGACGACUUUGCUUCUCUCUUUCUCUCCCUUGAUGACUCCCCGUUUCUCUUGUGAUCUUCCCCCGACGAUGAAGAGUCCGCCUCUGUCUCGUGAUCUUCCCCCGACGAUGAAGACUCCGCCUCUGUCUCCUCAUCUUCCCCCGACGACGAAGAGUCCGCCUCGGUCUCCUGAUCUUCCUCAGACGAUGAAGACUGCUCCUCUGUCCUCUCCUUCGGUGGAUCUCAUAGACGCUGAAAAUUUGUACCUCUCUCUCUUGGUGGCUGUCUUCGACGAAAUCAAAGCGAAAGAUGGAAACAGGCAUGAAGGUUCGUUGAAGAAGAUGACUACAACUGCAAAAAGGUAAACAUAUGU